rnacentral:rRNA from 1 species
UACGUAGGGUGCAAGCGUUGUCCGGAAUUAUUGGGCGUAAAGAGCUCGUAGGCGGUGUGUCGCGUCGGCCGUGAAAACCUGCAGCUUAACUGUGGGCGUGCGGUCGAUACGGGCAUCACUGGAGUUCGGCAGGGGAGACUGGAAUUCCUGGUGUAGCGGUGGAAUGCGCAGAUAUCAGGAGGAACACCGGUGGCGAAGGCGGGUCUCUGGGCCGAUACUGACGCUGAGGAGCGAAAGCGUGGGGAGCGAACAGG